UACAGAGGUCCCAAGCGUUGUUCGGAUUCACUGGGCGUAAAGGGUGCGUAGGUGGCCAGGUAAGUUUGGUGUGAAAGCUCGGAGCUUAACUCCGAAAAGUCAUUGAAUACUAUCUGGCUGGAGGGUCGGAGGGGAGACUGGAAUUCUCGGUGUAGCAGUGAAAUGCGUAGAUAUCGAGAGGAACACCAGUGGCGAAGGCGAGUCCCUGGACAACUCCUGACACUGAGGCACGAAAGCUAGGGGAGCAAACAGG
rnacentral:rRNA from 1 species